AAAAUUUGAUGCGAACUAUCGCUUUCUCUCAAUUUCAGUCACAAAGAGAAGAAGGGCGAUCUGAUUCGCCAUCGACGAAACAUGAAACCCAUGUUUUUCAAUUUUCUAGGUAUUUUCUGCUUCUUCAGAUGACGAACAUUGAGUUUCUACUGCCCCCUGUCUGUUCUUUAUAGAAAUUGUGGAUCUUUAUGAUUUCGAUGAGUAAAUUCAAAUAUUGGACAUUGGCUGGUUGAUGUUUGACACAUGGAUGUUUGUUGCGUGCUAUCAUCCAGUCCCUUAACAAUCAAAAGGAGUAUCUGCUUAACAUGGUUUUAUGGUAUUGGUUGUUAGAUGUUUGGAGAGCGUCGUUACCCAGUCUCACAUGAUCAGUUGUGUUUGUCACCUGUUCAUUACAAAAUGGCAUUUUUAAAAGACAUGAUUAGAUGUAUAAUUCAACUGAUUUUGUCUCUUUGUAUAGUAUGAUUUUUAAACUUCUUGUGCUUACAUGCCACAAUCUAAAUGUCUAAAACUUUCUUUGAAUGAAAUAAUAGGAAGAACUAAACAUCCCAAAUAUAAA